rnacentral:rRNA from 1 species
UCAAAUCCUCGGGCUUAACCCGAGACUCGCGAACGAAACGGCAUUGCUAGAGAAUGUGGGGAGUAUGGGGAACUCAUGGUGUAGGGGUGAAAUCCGUUGAUAUCAUGGGGAACACCGAAAGCGAAAGCACCAUACUAACACAUAUCUGACGCUCAAGCACGAAAGCGUGGGUAGCGAAUGGGAUUAGAUACCCCAGUAGUCCACGCCCUAAACGAUGAUCUCUAGUCUUUCGGAGUAUCGACCCUCUGAGAGACGUAGCUAACGCGUUAAGAGAUCCGCCUGGGAAGUACGGCCGCAAGGCUAAAACUCAAAGGAAUAGACGGGGACUUGCACAAGUAGUGGAUUAUGUGGUUUAAUUCGAUGAUAAACGAAGAACCUUACCAAGGUUAGAAACCAAUUUGAAAGCCCUAAGAAACUAGGGCCCUCGCAAGACAGAUUGGCAGGUGAUGCAUGGCCGUCGUCAGUUCGUGGUUUGAAUUGUUCCCUUAAGUGGGGUAACGAACGCAACCCUCAUCGUGUGUUAUAAGUGUCACACGAGACUGCCCAGCCCUUUGGAUUUAAUUAAAAAGAUUGAAUCUAGUGGGCUGGGAGGAAGGGGAGGAUGACGCCAGGUCAGCAUGUCCCUUGAUACCUUGGGCUACACACAUAAUACAAUCGCAAUUACAACGGGCUGCGACGAGGCAACUCUGAGCUAAUCCUAAGAAAAAUUGCGCCAGUUCGGAUUGGGGGCUGCAACUCGACCCCAUGAAGUUGGAAUUACUAGUAAUCGCGGGUCAGAUAUACCGCGGUGAAUACGUUCUCAAGUCUUGUACUCACCGCCCGUCAAUUCAAGGGAGCCGGGAGUGCUCGAAGUCUCUCCAGAAGGAGGGCCUACAGUAAGCUCGGUGACAGGGAAUAAGUCGUAACAAGGCACGGGUAGCGGAAGCUGUUCGUG